CUCUCGCCCGCCUCUCCUCUGCUCUCGUCGCCGGUCUCUCCUUUCCUCCCAAGAACGCCGAACUCUCCUUUCCCCCCUGUCGUCGCUAGCUUCCUCCCACGGCGUGACCCCGUUUUCUCCCACGGCGGGCGCCAGAAAUCCAACAUGCCGAGGUCAAAAGACUACCUUUUUAGCACCGGCGACGAGCUUCUGGGCGGCGGAGGCGCUGGGUUCGUGUGCGCUAGCGCUGGAUCCGCACGCGUCGAUGAUGGAUCCGCGUGCCCCGACGCCGGUGACGAAGUCGCGCUGGAUGUGGAGCAGCGUCGCGGCGGCGGAGCAACGGAGCUGCAGCGGCGGGGCGACAGUGGAGCGCCUACUCACGAGCUGAACCUCAAGACAAUUGGAUUUAUCGCCGGGCUAGUGCUAUGCUUGAAGUCACUGGUCAUCGCCUCAUGGAGUCAUGGGCGACGGGGCCCUCUAGAGUUCACGCAGAGUUAUCUCGAAUUGAUGGGGGAUAUUCAGUGUUUAUUCAGCCACACUUGGUGUCUUGUGUUUGAUCUCUUUGCAAUGCAGUAACGGCACGACACCCUGAAUCACCCACAUCGUGGGAGGACACCUGACACAAGGUGGAGUGCAGUUGAGGUCUGGGACAACCAUCUUCCGUUGCUUUCAGGUGAAUACAAGUGGACAGUUUGUUGGUGUUGCUGAAAUGACUGGUCCUGUUGAUUUUGAAAAAACUCUAGAGUACUGGCAACAAGACAAGUGGAAUGGUUAAUUCUCUGUCAAGUGGCACAUUGUCAAGGAUGUUCCCAACAACAUUCUCAAGCACAUCAUCCUAGAGAACAACAAGGGCAAACCGGUCACAAACAGCCGUGACACACAGGAUGUGGUGUCGACGGAGGCGCGGGCGAUGCACAAUGUGGGGUUGGCAGGGUUGACCUUCUGGAGCCCCAACAUCAACAUCUUCCGGGACCCGCGGUGGGGCCGGGGCCAGGAGACGCCCGGCGAGGACCCGCUGCUGGCCAGCAAGUACGCCGUCGGAUACAUCACGGGCUCCAGGACGCCGGCGCCGGCGGCGUCACCGACGGCGCGCUCAAGGUCGCCGCAUGCUGCAAGCACUACACUGCCUACGACGUCGACAACUGGAAGGGCAUCGAGCGAUACACCUUCAACGCAAAGUUUGUUUCCAGCGACAGCAGAGAGAUGUACUCCAGCAGAGGAUCAAAUGAUCAGAGAGAGGAGAUGAACCUGCCCAGCAGCAGCCGAGCCCAGCAGCAGCCCCUGGACGUGGGAGAGGAGGAGCGCCUGCGCCUGGAUGUAGUGGCCGGAGGUGGGUACGGAGGUGGAGGUGGAGGAACAACCUGUGCUCGCCUCCACCUGGGCGCGGGCCAGGAGGAGCCCCUGUGCGUGGGCGGCAGCAGAGUACCAGCUCUACUCCAGCGGCGGUAGCGCCUGGGCAGGGGGCAGGGGGCAGAGGAGGUGGAGGGCGGAGGU